GACUAGAUAGCUCAGAAAGUAGAGCAUGAGACUCUUAAUCUCAGGAUUGUGGGUUCAAGUAGGGUUGCCAUACCUCUGGAAUUUCCU